UGAAAAUUAUACUUGUAGUUUAUUUGCAUUGUUCACCAACGUACCUUAUACUCUUAUUUAUUUAUUUAUUUUCUUGCAUAUUUCUAGAAAAACAGGUUCGAGGUGGGGCUUUUUUCCUCCUCCUCUCCUGCUCCUCCACCUCCUCCUUCUUCUCUUUUCAUUUUAGAAUAUCAGGUAAAUGCCUGAAAUGCUAGUUAAUGGUAUUUUAUUUUGUCACAUAAGAAAGGCCCACAUGUGCAUUACACAGUACAGUAAAAUAAAAAAUAUCUGCAAAAUACAGUAUCUCAGUUAUGCCAUAAGCUAAAAUAAUAAUGCCUUAUUUGUCACAGAUAUUGACAUCAGGUUCCUGAAGAAGACGGCUUUCAGUCUUUACAGUGAUUUGAAAUCCAGGAACAGCAAGAGAAAGAUCUUGUUGAGACCAUCACCAUGAAUCAAUUUUAUCUAUCUUUUUAUUUGACCUUCCUGCAUUAUUAAACAGCUACACUGAGCUUUUUAUGUCUACUCUGCUUGACAGAUGCCUGCAAAAUUCCAUCACACCUUUGCAUGGACCUGUUUGGGUCUUUAAGAGAGAAGGUUUCAGCCUCUCAGGAGCAAAGAUAAAUAUCCCAGGACUUCUAUUGGCCCUGCACCAAUGAUUAAAGUCUGCAAACUGUUGCAAACAGCACAGCCUGAUGUGAUUGCCAAGGCACUUCAGAAGAGGAGUGAAGGAACUUCAGCUUGCCGUGCCCAUUUGGACAAACCCAAAUAUACACCUCUUCCUAGUGUGCAGUGAUUGGGUAUGUACUGUUACUCUGCUGUGACUAUGUCGCAUCUCCACAGAACCAUUUUCACCCAUGUCCUGGUGUUGUUUGCCAGUAUGAAGGGUCAAUUAUGUUAGUUACCAGAAUUCUCACAGUCCUUAUUUGUGCAGGUAGCCCAAAAUACAGGUUUUCUGCAAGAAGUUAAAUGAAUGUAUAGAGUAAGAUCAGAAGCAUGUCAUGUUUUAGUCUGUUUCCCAGAAUGAGCCAUGAACAAUUGUUUAACUACAGCGUGGAUGCCAGCAAAUGUCCUUAAAUUUAUAUACGUCAACAUUUUUGUGUUAAAGUUUGCUUGCAGUCCAUUAUGACUACUGAUCCUGAUAUCUCUGGUGUCAGAAGGGGAAGGACUAUGUAGAAGGAGGAAAUGCUAUGUAAAGAAGGAAAAAAUGAUCCUCUAAGUGUAUAAUCUUUUAUAUUGUGCAAAGUUUAAGCUUCAAUAUAUAAAAUUACUCAAAUAUUUUCUGGGGGUGGAGAAUGAGAGAAAAAAACACGGGGGGGGGAAGCUAAAAACAAUGGACGUUCACAUUAAUUGUUUUGACAUUUAUUAAUAUGCAAUUUAGAGAACUAUAUUUAAAAGGUAAACUUUGUGGCUACACUGGGUCAGUGAAACACCUACUUGGCAUCUGUUUCAAUGCAUCCAAUUAACCAGGUAAGAAGUGAAGUUAGAAAGCUUAAGUGAGAAUUAAAUUUGAGAGAUUGACUGCAG
rnacentral:lncRNA from 1 species